GACGAACGCUGGCGGCGUGCUUAACGCAUGCAAGUCGAACGGAAAGGCCCUGCUUUUGUGGGGUGCUCGAGUGGCGAACGGGUGAGUAACACGUGAGUAACCUGCCCUUGACUUUGGGAUAACUUCAGGAAACUGGGGCUAAUACCGGAUAGGAGCUCCUGCUGCAUGGUGGGGGUUGGAAAGUUUCGGCGGUUGGGGAUGGACUCGCGGCUUAUCAGCUUGUUGGUGGGGUAGUGGCUUACCAAGGCUUUGACGGGUAGCCGGCCUGAGAGGGUGACCGGCCACAUUGGGACUGAAAUACGGCCCAGACUCCUACGGGAGGCAGCAGUGGGGAAUAUUGCACAAUGGGCGGAAGCCUGAUGCAGCAACGCCGCGUGCGGGAUGACGGCCUUCGGGUUGUAAACCGCUUUCGCCUGUGACGAAGCGUGAGUGACGGUAAUGGGUAAAGAAGCACCGGCUAACUACGUG
rnacentral:rRNA from 1 species